CUCACUUGGAAAUCAGACGGAGCUCCUCUCGAGUCGUCGAAAUUUUAAUCAACUUCUUCACUUAUUCGUCUAUUUGACAAUGCUCUUUAAUGAUUUAAAAAUGUACCUAUCUUAAUCUAGUAGUUAUAUCAUAUCAAAUGGAUCCUUUAAUGUUGAGUCAAGUUUAGUUUGGUGACGCUCUUCGUUUUUGACAAAACAUGGUCUACGUUAUGUUUUAUUAUUUUUGCUUUGUUCUUCUCAAACCUACGUUUGUCGUAACGAGCAUUAACUUACAUGGUUUCCUUAGCUUGUUUUCUUAGAGAAUACUCUCUAUCAAUAAGAUUAUCCUCUUCUUCACCUAUUGGAAAUAGGCCGAAGGGUCUGGUUUCCCUACCGAUUAGAAUUUCUAAUGGCUGACCUUGGUAACUUCAUAGAGUAAAAAAAAAAUAAAACUUGGAUCGAAUUUCGAUCUGCUAAUCUUUAGCACCGAUUAGCAGAUCGAAAUUCGGAGGAAAAGGUCGCGAUAAAACCGACCCGUUUUUGAAGCGGAUGGUGACUGGUAAUGAAAAUUGGGUCACUUACGACAACGUGAGGCGAAAACGGUCGUGGUCAAAGAAGGAUGAGCCGGCCCAGGCGGUGGCUAAGCCAGGAUUGACGGCCAGAAAGGUUUUGCUGUGUGUUUGGUGGAAUUGGCAAGGACUUCUACAAAUCUACUAUGAACUGCUAUGGCCAAACACUUAAAUCGGUUUUGUACUGAAGGAAAGGAAUUGUUUUCCAUCAGGAUAACGCUAGACCACACACGUCAAAAUGUUCUUUUGGUUAUAGCCCGGACAUCGCAGCAAGUUACUACCACCUUUUCCUAUCAAUGUCGAACGAUUUGGAUAGUGUAAAGUUAGCCACAAGAGAGGAUUGUGAAAACCGACUUGCUCAGUUUUUUGCAAAUAAGGAAUAAAUAAAUCAGUCAAUUCUAACCAUAAAAGUUUUGAAUUUCAUGUACAAAUAAUGAAUAACUUUUUAAUUGAUUGUUACGGAACUGCAUCUUUCCCGGAGGGCAGCGCCGGCUAGCCACGGAGUCCCAGGGCGGAGUACCCCCUAUGCCCUGCAGUCCGAACAAUCGAUUCCGACUCAUCGGACGUCUCACGUCGAUUUACCGUCUCUAGCACAAAUCAAAACAAAACAAAACUAUGUUUACAUUAAGCAACUAAGACAAUUCGACGAAAUUGGUGGCUUCGAUGUCCUUGCCACGACGCACCCACCCAACCUUGGGUGCCCCAAGAGAGAUGUGGGAGGCACACCCCAUCUCCGGCAGACCGGAGUCUAUUCCUGGUGGAUUAGGAUCGGCUCAUCUCCCCGCCCAAGGUAACUCACACAACCAUUUCGGUGGCUUGUUUACAUUUAAUUCUUGAAACUCUCAAGGCCGAUCUCAGACCGUCGCCCAGAUGAGAAGCGGUCAAAGCGGCAACAACUGAAAGGGAAAUUUUUAGACGCUUAGAGUUCAAAGUGUCAGGCAAACUCGCCACUCGGCACUAAAUUGGAGGCGUUUGCCAACCGGGUCGCCUAAUCCUGAGGAGCUCCAAGGGAAAAGAAGGGACGUGCUGACAAGGUAAGUACGCUAAACAAAUCCCACAAGUUAUUAAAUUUCGCGACCCAAUUUAGAUAUAGUUGGACGCGCGGCCAGGGUUCGGGCUUGAGCCUCUAAAUUUAGAUCAGAUUUCACAAGUUCAACGUCGCAUGUGUUGAAACUGCAGCAGGAAAAAACGCUGAUGGCGAAGGCCAGCGCGACUCCGCACGGAGCCGAUUGGUCCGGAGGAUAGCGUAGCGUGGCCGGAAGCAGUGCGUCGGUGGACUCGGAGAUGACCACGUGGCCAGCGCGGGCAUUCGUUCCCGGAACGGACUCACCGAGGGAAUCUCCGUAUCUGGCCGUCUUGGCGGCAGUCGCUGUAGCUGCUGGCGCU